rnacentral:piRNA from 1 species
GCAGGUCUUGGGUUUUCCC